GAUGAACGCUGGCGGCGUGCCUAAUACAUGCCAGUCGAGCGAACAGACGAGGAGCUUGCUCCUCUGACGUUAGCGGCGGACGGGUGAGUAACACGUGGAUAACCUACCUAUAAGACUGGGAUAACUUCGGGAAACCGGAGCUAAUACCGGAUAAUAUAUUGAACCGCAUGGUUCAAUAGUGAAAGACGGUUUUGCUGUCACUUAUAGAUGGAUCCGCGCCGCAUUAGCUAGUUGGUAAGGUAACGGCUUACCAAGGCGACGAUGCGUAGCCGACCUGAGAGGGUGAUCGGCCACACUGGAACUGAGACACGGUCCAGACUCCUACGGGAGGCAGCAGUAGGGAAUCUUCCGCAAUGGGCGGAAGCUUGACGGAGCAACGCCGCGUGAGUGAUGAAGGUCUUCGGAUCGUAAAACUCUGUUAUUAGGGAAGAACAAAUGUGUAAGUAACUAUGCACGUCUUGACGGUACCUAAUCAGAAAGCCACGGCUAACUACGUG
rnacentral:rRNA from 1 species